UUUUAAUGUAGAUUUGUUAAAUGGUGGAAGAACAAGAAUAAUGAUUGAAGACUCUUUUGAUGCAAUUUCUUUAUUAUGCUGUUAAAUUUGUAGGACGGGUAGAGGCGGGGCAGGUACCGUGGGGACGGGUUAGGGUAGAGCAGCCUACUACCCGCAGGUAGGGGUAGGGCGGGUAGUAGUGGAGUGCAAGGACGGCGGGGCGGGGUCGGGUAGGGCAAAAACCCGCCCCUACCCGCCCCACUGCCACAGAGGUAGAGAGGGAAGAAGAAGAA